CUUCUCUUUAUUUUGUUUUCCUUUCUUUUUUUUUCUUUUUCUUUUUUUAAUCAAAUUUGUAAA
rnacentral:ribozyme from 13 species